UACGGGGGGGGUAAGCGUUGUUCGGAAUUACUGGGCGUAAAGGGCUCGUAGGCGGCCAACUAAGUCAGACGUGAAAUUCCUGGGCUCAACCUGGGGGCUGCGUUUGAUACGUGCUGUCUGGAGUUCGGAAGAGGGUCGUGGAAUUCCCAGUGUAGAGGUGAAAUUCGUAGAUAUUGGGAAGAACACCGGUGGCGAAGGCGGCGACCUGGUCCGAUACUGACGCUGAGGCGCGAAAGCGUGGGGAGCAAACAGG
rnacentral:rRNA from 1 species